AGAGUUUGAUCCUGGCUCAGGACGAACGCUGGCGGCGUGGAUUAGGCAUGCAAGUCGAACGGUAUAUAUUCUUUCGGGGAUAUAGAGAGAGUGGCGAACGGGUGAGUAACGCGUAGGUAAUCUACCUUCAAGUGGGGGACAACCCAGGGAAACUUAGGCUAAUACCGCAUGUGGCAGCAAUGCUAAAGCCGGCCUCUGAAUAUGCUGGUGCUUGGAGAUGAGCCUGCGUCUGAUUAGCUAGUUGGUGGGGUAACGGCCUACCAAGGCGAUGAUAAGUAGGCGGCUUUAACGAGUGGUCGCCCACACUGGGAUUGAGAUACGGCCCAGACUCCUACGGGAGGCAGCAGUCGAGGAUAGUCUACAAUGGUCGAGAGAUUGAUAGUGCGACGCCGCGUGAACGAUGAAGCAUUUCGGUGUGUAAAGUUCUUUUCUAUGGGAGCAGGAUGCCAGAUGUUAACAGCAUGAGGCAUUUGAUAUUACCAUAGGAAUAAGCCACGGCUAACUCCGUGCCAGCAGCCGCGGUAAUACGGGGGUGGCAAGCGUUGUCCGGAAUUACUAGGCGUAAAGGGCAGGUAGGCGGAUUGGUAAGUUAAUCGUUAAAGGCCCAUGCUCACCAUGGGUAAGGCGGUUGAUACUGUCAGUCUGGAAGCGAGUGGGGGAAGACGGAAUUCCUGGUGUAGCGGUGGAAUGCGCAGAUAUCAGGAGGAACACCGAAGGCGAAGGCAGUCUUCUACGCUUGUCUUGACGCUAAACUGCGAAGGUGCGGGUAUCAAACAGGAUUAGAUACCCUGGUAGUCCGCACAGUAAACGAUAAUCACUAGGUGUCGGUAGGAUAGACCUGUCGGUGCCGCAGCUAACGCGUUAAGUGAUUCGCCUGGGGAGUACGAUCGCAAGGUUGAAACUCAAAGGAAUUGACGGGGGCCCGCACAAGCGGUGGAGCAUGUGGUUUAAUUCGAUGCAACGCGAAGAACCUUACCUGGGCUUGACAUCUGCCAAAUUCUUCAGAGAUGAGGGAGUGCCCUUCGGGGAAUGGCAAGACAGGUGCUGCAUGGCUGUCGUCAGCUCGUGUCGUGAGAUGUUGGGUUAAGUCCCGCAACGAGCGCAACCCCUUUCUCCAGUUGCCAUCAUUAAGUUGGGGACUCUGGAGAGACCGCUGCAGUAACAAUGCAGAGGAAGGUGGGGACGACGUCAAGUCAUCAUGGUCCUUAUGUCCAGGGCUACACACGUGCUACAAUGGUAGUUACAGAGGGGAGCGAAGCUGCAAGGUGGAGCGAAUCUCAGAAAAGCUGCCACAGUUCGGAUUGAGGUCUGCAACUCGGCCUCAUGAAGCUGGAAUCGCUAGUAAUCGCGUAACAGCAUGACGCGGUGAAUACGUUCCCGGGCCUUGUACACACCGCCCGUCAAGUCAGCCGAGUGGAGUGCACCCGAAGUAGGUGGGCGAACCCUUAGGGGUAGCAGCUUUCGAAGGUGUGCUUCGCGAGGAGGACUAAGUCGAAACAAGGUA
rnacentral:rRNA from 1 species